rnacentral:rRNA from 1 species
CCCAGACUCCUACGGGAGGCAGCAGUCGGGAAUAUUGCACAAUGGAGGAAACUCUGAUGCAGUGACACCGCGUAUAGGAAGAAGGUUUUCGGAUUGUAAACUAUUUUAGACAGGGAAGAAAAAAGACAGUACCUGUAGAAUAAGCUCCGGCUAACUACGUGCCAGCAGCCGCGGUAAUACGUAGGGGGCAAGCGUUAUCCGGAUUUACUGGGUGUAAAGGGAGCGUAGGCGGCUGUGUAAGCCAGAAGUGAAAGCCCGGGGCUCAACUCCGGGACUGCUUUUGGAACUACAUGGCUUGAUUGCAGGAGAGGCAAGUGGAAUUCCUAGUGUAGCGGUGAAAUACGUAGAUAUUAGGAGGAACACCAGUGGCGAAGGCGGCUUGCUGGACUGUAAAUGACGCUGAGGCUCGAAAGCGUGGGGAGCAAACAGGAUUAGAUACCCUCGUAC